rnacentral:lncRNA from 1 species
CUAUUCUAUUUUAAAAUGAUGCUAGAAGGUCCAGAAGUGAUUAGGUCUCUGGCCCCACUAGAGCUAAAAAUUGUGACCUUCUUAGUCCUUUGCUUCUCUUUCUCUUCUACUCUCUACUUCAUAUUCCUUUCCCUUUUCUCUGUCCUCACUUCUUCCCUCUUUCUUCCUCAUUCCUCUUUUAUUUUUUUCUUUUUUCUUGCUUUAUUACUCUCAUUAGAAGCAUCAUCAUUUGAGUAGUUUGAAAACCUCUAAGAAAAAAUAUUCCGGGAACCUUUUUAUCACUCCUGGAUCUUUACGAACAGCACAGGCAUGGGUUAGUUCCAGCCCUCAGGAUUUACUGUCUUUCGCACUCCAUUUUCUUGCUUGGCUAAAAGAACAGCUAUUUUUGUGGUGCAGGUUUACCCUGUCUCCCUUUUUCUGUAUCCCUAGAGAGAAAGUCUGAUAACCGAGGCCAGACUGCGAUCCCUUCCGAGGACUGACUGCAGCCAAGUUUUGAGAAUGUGUCCUCCUGGGUCUGUGUCAGCAGCUCACUCAGCUCUGCUGGGAAGAGCAUGCCAGGGUCACUCACUGUGCAUUAACCUCAGUGGCUUGCUCGCUCCAUCUCUCGUCAGCUGUUUCUUUUCCGUGAAAAGCACACACAGUUCAGAUAAUUAAACACUUGUGGGGCAUUUUACAUUUCAUGAAUCAAUCAGCAGUGAAUUAUUUUUGAAUGUGCUCAUGCAAUGUACUCCAAGUCUCUUAGCUAUAUUUUGCAAAUGAACAGGAGUGGAUUUAUCAUGAAGCAAAUGAGGCUUAAGUUGGCCUCUUACGUACAGGGGCCCAUUUCAAGGCCCCAGGAGAAUCCCUGGUGAUUUCAUAUUUGUAAUUUAUAUUUUUUCUUAAUGAUACUCUUCCUUCAUCCCCAACACCACUUUUACAAGCUUGAGAUCCCACAGUAACUGAAUCUACCCCUGGGAAAACUAAGACUCUCUUUCUUGUUACCAGGCUAGGUCUUAUCACCAUGUGCAUCAGAUAUUGCUUUGCCUUUAUCACUGAUUUCAGAUGGACAACUUUUGCUUUGUGGGCAGUUUGUUUCUCAUAUAUAGGCCAGCUCACUUUUUCUAAAGAUCUGUCUUCAGAGUGAUGGUGACAAAAAUGUGCCUUCUGAACCCAAACUACAAGGAGCUUAAUUGAUCAAGGGGCCAGCAGCUGAACUCUGAAAAUCCAUCGCCUUAUUUGUACCAAGGCAGUGCUUCCCAGGAGCUGGCUGCUCAUGCAGCAGGAAUACUAAGGCAGAGCUAGUCUGGGGAGAUGUAGGAUUCUUCUGACGGCUGGUUUUGACAUAAGGACUCCCUGACAGUAUUGCUGAAAACUCCUUAAACUUCCUGGCAGUUUAGUAGAUGCUUCUACUUAAUUUUCCUUCCCUUUCUCCUUCACUUGGGGUCAGACUUGUAUAAUGGUCUGAUGGCUUUCCCUGGUUUGUCCCCAUUUUCUGUCACACAGGCAUUUCCCUUAAUAAAAUUCUUAUACUCUGAAUCCUGUCUUAGUGUCUGCUUUAGAAAAUGCAAACUAACACAAUGAGUUAAUAGGAAAAAAUAGGACUGGAUGUUAGAAUGCAUUAAUCAAGUCCCACUGAAUUUUCAGGGAUCUUAGUAAAUUAAAAUUUGAAAAUUAAAAUACCCAUUGUCAUGACCUCCCCAUCUUUCACUUUUGCCCACACUUGAAAUUUCCUUUUUUUGCAUCUAACUAAAUCUUGUUUAUAAUGUGAAUCCCAGCUCCAGUCCAUCUCUUCCAUAGAACCUUGAUUUUCUCUCUUCUGAGUUCUUAUGGUCCUGGCCCUAUGAACUUAAACAUCAUGGUAAUUCUUGAUUAAAGGGUCAGUCAAAUAGUCAAUCUUCAAAAUCCCCUAAGGGCUAGCUCAGGCUAACAACUUCUAUAUGCCCUUCUUCUGUAAAGCUUAUAGACUAGUAUUUUAAAAAUUAUGUUCCAGUAAUAGCAAUAGACUAUGUAUAUUUUAGAAGAGAAAGGGUCCAUGGUCAAAUAAAUUUGGAGGAAAUACCCACCACGUAUAUGGCCAUUUCUCAGAGACUUAACUGCACGCCAGUGCACUAAAGACUUGGAAACAAACUAUGGGAAUGGUUUCAACUAACUCCGAGUUCCCCAAACCUAUUUGAUAUUGCAAACCUUUUUCCAUAAAAUUACUAUUAACAACCACAUGGAUUUAUUUUUUAACAACACAAUUUGAAAAUAUGUGUUGAUAUUUCUGAAGAUAUUUCUUUCAGAGGUGCAUUUGUAUUAAGUCACUCUCUGGAUAUAUUGAAUAGGGGUAAGGAGGAGGCAAGUCAAUUGGCAACAUUGGCAGGUGGGGGAGCUUCUGGACCUCAGCCAUGAGAUCAAAAUGAAAGAGGGCAGGGUAGACUAACGCCAGGUGUGCAAAGCAGGAGCUGGGAAAGCAGGUCCAAGAAUGGCCUGAGCUUAUUCUUACCAGUCAAUGUUUAAAGGGGACAGUGACAGGUUAUUUUUCUUUCUUUACAGGAAUCACAUAAUUAGCACCCGUAGGGAAUACCCUUCAAAGAUGACCCAAGAGCUUCUGGUCAACUGCUUUCCUUUGCAGGCUUUCUUACCAUUUAUACAGUUUCCUUUCCAGCUAGAUUACAAGCCAAGAUUAGGGAAAACGUCUUACCAUUCUUUAAUUUACCUCGGUAUUUAGUAUUCCUUCAUUCUUCCAAUAAAUCAUUAUUAUGCCACUACUGUGUGCCAGACAAUGUUCUUGGUGAUAGAGAUGCAGCAGUGAACCAAACCCAACAAGGUUCCUGUCCUCAUGGAACUUACAUUCUUAUUGGGUAAACAGAUAAUAAACCCAAUAAGCUGAAAUACAACAAAUAUUAGUGGCAAGUGCUAUGAAGAAAAUAAAGUGGGAUAAAGGAUUAAAGAGCACACCAGAGACAGAGUAGAUACCGAAUAAAUAUUGACGGAUUAUGUAGGACUUUUGAAUUGCCUCAGUGAUUUUCUGCAGCCCUCAAAGAGAAUUUAACAGGAGGAAAGUGCCAUUGUGGCUUGCAUAGGUGUGAUCAUUUUUUAAAUGGUGACAAAACCUCAAAAGUGGGCAAUAACAUUGAUGUCUUGUUUCUGCUAUUCAUCAGCAGGCAAACGUUCUAUCUGCAACUGUCAGAACUACAUAUUUAGCACAGUUCCUCUUACUAUUAGCGUCUUCAACAUGCUGCUACCUUCCCCACAUCUUCCUACCCAUUACCCCCUUGUAAUUACUGCAAUCAUUUCAGAUUAAGAUGUUAAAGUCCAAAAUGUUUGUGAAAAAAAUUGGCAAGCUGUCACCUCCAAAUACCCAGCUGAGUUGCCAAAUGAAUAAUAAUGCAAAAAUGCUUGCUGGAAAAAUAAUAAAUAAAAGCUUUUUGUUGUAUAAUAAAUCCUUUUCUAUAAACCACCCCUGAGGAAACUGGCUCUAGGCUAGUUUCCUAGUAACAUUUUCCUCCAAGUAAGCAGGCCAUUUUAUUUCAUUCUUUUCUACACUUUAUUUUUUUCCAAGAGCUGCUGUAUGGUCCUACCCCAUUGUUCUUCAUGAAAUAUGAAUGCCACAGGAGUGUAUGGGGAGAGAUGCCAGCUACAUGGCUGUGGAUAGGAGCCACUAGUGACUAGAGUAAGUGAUUAGUUCAGAAAGUGGCAGCUGAAAAGGAAGUGUGCAUUGUGGGAAAACAGAGUUAUUUUAUUAACCAUUAGCCAAAAGAGAAGACUUAAAAAAAUAAAAAACCCCGAGAGGCUGGAUUUAAGGGCAUCCAUCUUGCCCAUUGCAGAGCAGCUCUGUUCAUGAAAAAGGGGAAGAACAACACAAACCACUUGGGCUGGAUUUGGAUAUUCAUGGAAGGCUCCAUUAUGCUUGGGGCAGACCGUGGGCAAAACUGUACCCAAGAGCUCAUUGUCACAUUUGAGGAAUUGGCGAGGCAUGACAGAUAAUUAGGCAAUAACUAACACUCUGCAUAUACUACGUUGUCUAUGUAUAUAGGAUUGCCACAUAUGUUGUCAUCUCAUUUGAUUCAUCAAAUAAUCCUAGGAAACAGGAUUAUUUUGCCUACCUUAAAGAUGACGCCAUUGAAGUUUAGAGAUGUUAAGUAAUUUUUCUAAGGUUACAUAGCCAGCAAGUGGCAGAGCUAGAAUUCAAAUCCAGGUCUCUCUGACUCCCUAGGUGGGGCUUUAGCCACUCUUCGAAGUUUCCUACUCUUCUUUCCCAGACUCAGAGAAGGAGGCAGAAUCUGGCAAUAGACAAUGCACAUCCUCCUCCUCCCCAGCUGCCCCACGCUCCUACACGAGGCAAGCAUUGUGAGCCAUCAAGGCCACUGACACUAGGUGAGGCCAAAGAGGCCUGGGUGAACUGCUCAUCACCUAUGGGGCAUGUUCACCUGCAGCCACAGUACUGGUAUGCUCAAAGACACAAAAGGCCCCAAAGAUCCAGGAAAGUUUAGCAUCGAAGAAAAGUAGAUGUUAGAAAAAUCCAUGGAAAGCCAGGUUAAAAAUUCUACUAAGGAGGAUCGUUGACGGUUAGUGGAGUGCUAGAGUCAAGUAUGGGAAGAAAAGAGGAUGGUAGGAACCCGUCCUAAAGAAUGUUUAAUAAUAGUUUAUUGGAAAAGUAACUUUGGCAUGGGACCAAUAAUUGAGGUUUAAAAGCAUAGUGUACAAAAACAAAACAAAACAUAGUGCACAUGAGAACGGAGACAUGCUGGUAGAAAACAGGAAGUUCAGGCUUCUGAAAUGAGACAUCAGAACUGGUGAAUUGUGUGUAAGUCAGGCUGGCAGCCAAAGAAACAGCCCGGGAAGGUUGUCGGGGGAGGGGGGAGAUACUUAAGCUCCACCUUCCUCUCACCUGAUUGGGCCUUGAGUGGCUGGGGGUGGGACUAAAUUGGCAGAUGGGCAUCAGCCUGGGUGUGUGGAAACCAACCCGAAUAUGAUUUGAGGCAGAUUCUCUCCCUCCUUCUUUCCCCCAGGUAGGCUAUGUGCUCUAGUUUCCAGAGCCUCCACCUCUGUGCCAUGCCCAAAUCUUUCCUUCUACUGUGAGUCCUAAAAACUCCCCAGGUCUAAUGCUAGUAGAAAUCCUACUUCUUCACUGCAAGAAUUUUUUUUUUUUUUUUUUUUUUUUUUUUUUUUUUUUUUUUUUUUUUUUUGAGACGGAGUCUCCCUCUGUCACCCAGGCUGGAGUGCGGUGGCGCGAUCUCGGCUCCCUGCAAGCUCCGCCUCCCGGGUUCACGCCAUUCUCCUGCCUCAGCCUCCUGAGUAGCUGGGACUACAGGCGCCCGCCACCACGCCCGGCUAAUUUUUUUUUUUGUAUAUUUAAUAGAGACGGGGUUUCACCGUGUUAGCCAGGAUGGUCUCGAUCUCCUGACCUUGUGAUCCACCCGCCUCGGCCUCCCCAGGUGCUGGGAUUACAGGCGUGAGCCACCGCGCCCGGCCUGCAAGAACUUCUCUCUACGUUAGCAAGAAACAAACACUUGAGAACUAAGUUACACUGCUGGAGGAACGAUGAACGUCUCCUUACUGCCAAUUACGUUAACCUUCCCAAUGACUUGUUUUCACUUUUUAAAUAGAAGCUUGUUAAAUUAAAAGAAUGCUUUGCUAAUAGUGGGAUUAUAGGAGAGAAGUUUUUUUGAGAUUGUGGUGAUGGGGCAGGAGCUGUGAUGUAGAUGGGGUCCCUUAAAACUAUUUGUUCUUCUUGUUCAGAUUUUGAUUCAGCUCAUGUCUGUCAAGCCUUUAAUAAGCACCAAGUCCCAAGCUACUUGUCAUCCUCCCCACCAUGAUCAAGGUCUAGAGGAUAGAGGUGGUUUCUUGAAAGUGAGAAAAUGUUUAUUUCAUAUUGUUUUCAACAAGACUAAAUUGGAAAAAAAACCCUCAACAUCCUUUUAGUGAUUUCUACAGUGCUGGGAAUUACUGGCUUUUUAAGUCCUUGUUCUCUACUGUAGAAGCUGCCUACUCAUUCCAAUUGCCUGAUGUUUGCUAAUUAAGCAUCGUUAAAGGAAGAAAUUAACUCAUUUGUUAAAUGCCACCUAAGUUUCUCUGUAUAUUCAGAAAAAGCAUUAAACCCAAUCCUGAGAUGGUAAUUUCAACCUAAUUCAAACUCUUGCUUGCUUUAGGGAUCAAAAUAGUUAUGCUGCAGGUUUACUAAUAUCAACAGUGGCACUGACGACAAUAACGAAUGAUGACCCUGACAAUGAUCAUGAUGCUGAACGCUGUUUGUUACUUUUUAAAUCCUUUGUUUCAAAAACUACCAAAAAUUCUCCACAUUUUUAGAAAUCUUGUAUUGAAGCAUCGUCAUUAGUAUAAUUUCUGAUCAAGUAAAUCCAUUGCUGAGAUGUUUAUGCAGUAUUCUCUGUGCAGAAAAUAAUACAUGAAUAUAGGUAAGAAUCUGAUACAGAUAUUCAGGAUGAGACACUUUUUAAUUGAGAAAAAUAAUUGGACAGAUUUUCAUUCAUUGCACAUCUGUUUUCAAAUCUAUUUACUGUAUUUGUCAUCUCCCUUUCUCCUUUCAUCUCCUUCUUCUCUCCAUUGUCCUGCUUUUUUUUCUUUGGUUCUCCUCUCAUCUUUCACUCUCCUUUUCAGCAAACAAAUCAGGGAAAGAAACAGCUUCCUAGAUAAUGAAUGGUAUUUUAAAUCUGGUUUGUUUUCAGGGACUCUAGUCCUGACUUAAUGUAUCAAACGAAGCUCCAGGAUUUAAUCAAGAAAGGAGGCCAUCAGGAAAAAGAAAAUCAACUCUGAAGCUUAGCUGAAAAUAAUUUGCAUUUUGGGAGCUGUGCGUUAGGGAUGUUUGGUCCAAGCUCUUUCAUGGGGAGAUAAAAUGAAAAUGAUGUGCUUUAUUACUUUGAAAGUCAUACCCUUCUAAUAACAGGGAGAAUAGGAAGCUUUUCUGAUUUAUUCUGCUGAACCAUCACUAUCUGGAGUCAUUUGCACUCAUGGACCAUUGGGAGAACAUUAAUUGACCAAAAAGAGGCUGCUGUUAUUGUCGAGGCAGCAUUGUGUAUCCUUCUGAAAUGGCUGAUCCUGACCUGGGCUCUUGACUUUGCCCCCUCAGACUCUAGCUUUUAUGGGACUGGAUGGAUCUACUGCCAGAGGUCAAGUAGUGCCAGACUGAAAAGCUUUAUCAAUUCCAGAACCUCACCGAGUACCUCCUACUAGGAAAUUUGAAUGUGAACACCUUGGUAACAUCUCAACCACGCACUUGGGAGCUUUUGCCUAUAAUUCAAAGCAAACCGAAAAAGAAAUUAUUCCCACCAUGUUGCAAAAAUUGAAAUGGAAAAAGAACUGUUGAUUCUAAUUCCUCAACCCAGGACUUCAGAUGCCAAUAAUGAUUGCAAAGAAUAAACACCCACUGAGUGCAUCUCAGAAACCGAAUUGUUUUCUUGUUAUUUAACAUUUACAGUAGUAAGAGUGUGUUGGCACUGCUGGGCUCCUGUCAAGAGCCAUUCCUGAAGUCCUCAGUGUUCCCACAGUGAUGGCUGCACGUGUGAAAGGUUAGGAAUCCAGGAAUACUAACAUGGAAAGUAAAUUGUUCCUCCCGUUUCUUUUCUGUGCUGCCCUAGAAAGAUCUUACACCUCUUGUCCUUUAAGGUAAUAGCACUAGUUCCCAUUCUUUUGGGUUCCAUGUAUAUUAGGGCAUCCACAUCUACUGUUAAAAAAAAAGGAAGAAGGAUUUUGAGGAAGAGCUUAAAGGAAAGGGGGUAUUCAAAGAAGAAAAUGCUUCAGGGCAAUUGGGGGUUUCCUUCAGAGCAAAAGGGAGAUUAGAGGAGAGGUGGGAGAGAGAUAGAGAAGGAUUUACCUGAUGAAUAACCCAGAACUUGGAAGUGAUUCUGGGUAGGUCUCUCAAAACAGGAGAAAAUUAUUAUAUUUAAAAAGUGGGUGGCCCUUGAAGAAGAAUCAUUUGAAAAUUCAGAAGCUACCUGGGUGCUGAAUCAUUGCUCUUCUCACUUCAUUUUUGCAAGAAUGAAUAAUUACACAUUCGCCCCAUUGCCUGUGCCGGGGAAUGAUGUAGUGAAGGACUUCAUUUUGUUAUAUGCAGGACUGACCCUGGCUGUGCACUGGGGCAUCUGCUGGCUCCUUCAAAUUUAUUCCUUAUGCAUAUGACCCACCCUUUCCACACCCAACUUUGCUGACUAUGCAUAAAGCCAAAAAAGGAAGGGGCCCUAGUUACCUGAGGUCUGUGUACGUAUGGGAGAGUGAGGGGUAGAAGGAAACUUGGCCUCAUCUCUAUCUGGGGGCUGCUGAAUGCUUAUCACACCCACAAGGGAGGGUCAGUAGCUAAUGACCCCCAUGUUAAAAAUGAAAAAACUGAAACCCUAGAUUGUUAGCCCGUGACUUGCUUUACCUUUGCCUUCUGUUCAGGAGGGAUUUAAUUCUGCUUAAAGUAAAUGGCAACCACAUAACCUGCCAUGUUUUUGGACCCCUUGGUCACCUAAUUUUCCCAUUAGGCUUCAGCCCUGUUGGCACAAUGAGGCUGGACGCUGAGAAGCCACAAGGGCCGGUGAGAGAGAAUGGGAACCACAGUGAAAUGUGCAUUUUUGGGGAGACUCGAUGGAGUGACCCAGAGCCAGCUUAUUGCAUCUUAGAAAGUUAUAGGACAGAAAAUUUAUAUCUUGUAGUUUAGUUUGAAAGUGGGGGAACAGACUAUAAACUAGGAAAACAACGAAGUGCUUUUGAAAAAAUAUUUGCUGAACAUCUUAAGGCAUAGGUUUCUGAGCGUAGGGUCAGUGUUUUUAUUUCUUCCCAGAUACUCUGCCUUUAAAUACAGAUCUAGCGUCUGCUGUAUGCCGUCUGAGACAAAGGUUAAUUUCCAAUGCUUGAAUUAUCCACACCACUUUCGGCCCUUAUCCUGUAGGUGGAAUUUGUGAAACAUCCAAAUAGUCACUGUCAGGCCUCUGAGCCCAAGCUAAGCCAUCAUAUCCCCCGUGACCUGCACAUAUACAUCCAGACGGCUUGAAGUAACUGAAGAAUCACAAAAGAAGUGAAAUUUAAAUGGCCUGUUCCUGCCUUAACUGAUGACAUUACCUUGUGAAAUUCCGUUUCCUGGCUCAUCCUGGCUCAAAAAUCUCCCCCACUGAGCACCUUGUGACCCCUACUCCUGCCCGCCAGAGAACAACCCCCCUUUGACUGUAAUUUUCCUUUGCUUACCCAAAUCUUAUAAAACGGCCCCACUCCUAUCUCCCUUCACUCUCUUUUCGGACUCAGCCCGCCUGCACCCAGGUGAUUAAAAGCUUCAUUGCUCACACAAAGCCUGUUUGGUGGUCUCUUCACACGGACGCGAGUGAAGUUUCGUGCCGUGACUCGGAUCAGGGGACCUCCCUUGGGAGAUCAAUCCCCUGUCCUCCUGCUUUUUGCUCCAUGAGAAAGAUCCACCUACGACCUCGGGUCCUCAGACCGACCAGCCCAAGGAACAUCUCAGCAAUUUUAAAUCGGGUAAGCGGGCUUUUACUCUCUUCUCCAACCUCUCUUACUAUCCCUCAACCUCUUUCUCCUUUCAAUCUUGGCGCCACACUUCAAUCUCACCCUUCUCUUAAUUUCAGUUCCUUUCCUUUUCUGGUAGAGACAAAGGAGAUGUGUUUUAUCCCUGAACCCAAAACUCCGGCGCUGGUCACAGACUUGGGAAGACAGUCUUCCUUGGUGUUUAAUUACGCUGGGAUGCCUGCCUGAUUAUUCACCCGCGCUUCAGGGGUGUCUGACCACAUGGGGACACCUGCCUUGUCCCUUCACCCUUAGUGCCAACUACCGCUUUUCUGCGGGGCAAGAACCCCUCGACCCCUUCUCUCCGUCUCUACCCCUUUUCCACUUUUCUGGAGGGCAAGAAACCCCCAACCCCUUCUCUCCUGUCUCUACCCCUUUUCUGCUUUUCUGGAGGGCAAGAACCCCCCGACCCCUUCUCUCUGUGUCUCUACCCCUUCUCCACUUUCCUGCGGGGCAAGCACUCCCCACCCCUUCUCUCCGCGUCUCUACUCUCUCUUUUCUCUGGGCUUGCCUCCUUCACUAUGGGCAGGCUUCCACCCUCCAUUCCUCCUUCUCCCUUAGCCUGUGUUCUCAAGAACUUAAAACCUCUUCAACUCACACCUGACCUAAACCCAAACGCCUUAUUUUCUUCUGCAAUGCCGCUUGACAAACUCGACAGUGGUUCCAAAUAGCCAGAAAAUGGCACUUUCAAUUUUUCCAUCCUACAAGAUCUAAAUAAUUCUUGUCCUAAAAUAGGCAAACAGUCUGAGGUGCCUGACGUCCAGACAUUCUUUUACACAUUGUCCCCUCCCUAGUCUCUGUUCCCAGUGCGACUCGUCCCAAAUCCUCCUCCCUUCCCUCUCACCUGUCCCCUCAGUCCC